ACGAACGCUGGCGGCGUGCUUAACACAUGCAAGUCGAACGGAAAGGCCCUUCGGGGUACUCGAGUGGCGAACGGGUGAGUAACACGUGGGUGAUCUGCCCUGCACUUUGGGAUAAGCCUGGGAAACUGGGUCUAAUACCGGAUAGGACCACGGCAUUCAUGUGCUGUGGUGGAAAGCUUUUGCGGUGUGGGAUGGGCCCGCGGCCUAUCAGCUUGUUGGUGGGGUAAUGGCCUACCAAGGCGACGACGGGUAGCCGGCCUGAGAGGGUGACCGGCCACACUGGGACUGAGAUACGGCCCAGACUCCUACGGGAGGCAGCAGUGGGGAAUAUUGCACAAUGGGCGCAAGCCUGAUGCAGCGACGCCGCGUGAGGGAUGACGGCCUUCGGGUUGUAAACCUCUUUCGCCAGGGACGAAGCGAAAGUGACGGUACCUGGAGAAGAAGGACCGGCCAACUACGUG
rnacentral:rRNA from 1 species